CAAGAGCGUAUAUUAAAGUUGCUGCGGUUAAAAAGCUCGCAGUUGGAUUUCAGUCUAGGAAGGUUAACUCGCCGAAAGGUUGUACGUUGAUUUUCCUCAGACUUCGUCAGAAGCUCGUGCUGCACUUAACUGUGUGGUACGAUGUUCUGACCUUUUACCUUGAGGAAAGUAGAGUGUUUCAGGCAGGCUACCCAGCUUGAAUACAUUAGCAUGGAAUAAUGAAAUGGAUCUCGGUUCGAUUUCGUUGGUUCUAGAGCUGAGGUGAUGAUCAAUAGGAACAGGCGAAGGUAUUCGUACUUGAGAGUGAGGAGUGAAAUCCGAUGAUCUCUUAAAGACGAUCCGAGGCGAAAGCAUUUGUCAAGGAUGUUUUCAUUGA
rnacentral:rRNA from 1 species